rnacentral:lncRNA from 1 species
AUGGACAGGGAAGCCUGGCGUGCUGCAGUUCAUGGGUUCGCAAAGAGUCAGACACAACUGAACGACUGAAUUGGACUUGAACUGAAUUAUUGUGAGCCAGGAAUAACUUGAGACAGGAGAAAGAGGAGGAGCUAAUCAAGGUGAAACUCAUAAUAAUAAAACUAUCUAUCUGACAUGGAAAACAUCAUCAGUAAUCUGUAUUAUAGCAGAUGGUAUGUGAACAUGAACUAUCUUGCCAGGGCAUUAUCUGCUAUAUUCAAAUCAAUAAGCCGUAUUCACCAGCUUUCAGGUUUUGUGAUAGACAUAAAUUUCACAUGAAGUAUCUGGGAACAAAUCACCUCAGAGACUAAUACAGCGGCUCUAGACUCACUGGACGUCUCAGGGUUGUUAAACCUGCAGUUGGAAAGUAUUUCAAUAUUUAUGCUAUUUACAUGCACAGACACAAGAAUUCGCUAUCUAAGUCUGUUUUGAGGUCAGGGAGCUACAUCUUCAUUCCUAUGUCCAGGCAAACAAUAGGUAGUCAAUAACAUUUAUUUUACAAAGAAAUAAAUGCCUUAAGACUGAGACGUAAAAACAACAGGAAAGAAGUUUAUGAGGCUUUCUUGAUAUGGAAAGAAGUCCAAAAUUUACUGUUGAAUUAAAAAUGGUAGUUGCAGAAAAAAUAAGUAACUGUUAAAUGGACCAACAAAUCUCUGAAAGGAUAUAAUACCAAAUAGGGGCUCUUCUGAUUUUGAGGGUAUUUGUUGUUGUUGUUAGUAUGGAUCAAUAAGGAAGUUUCUACUCUAUAUAAUUCCGCAUUAUCUUAUUUUUACAUAUAUAGAGGGCUUCCCUGGUGGCUGAGUGGUAAAAUAUCUGACUGUCAAUGCAGGAGAUGUAGGUUUGAUCCCUGGGUUGGGAAGACCCCCUGGGGAAGGGAAUGGCUACUCACUCCAGUAUUCUUGCCUGGGAAAUCCAAUGGACAGAGGAGCCUGGCUUCAGUCCACAGGAUUGCAAGAGUCAGACAUGACUUAGUGGCUACACACCACCACACCUAUAUAUAUGCUCAUAAACGUACAUGCAUAUUUUACAAAUGUAUUCUGUAAUAAUGCACUUAAAAUAGGUUUUUAAUCAUUUGAGGAAUCUAAAUGAAAAGAUGGGUAUUACUCAGUUUAAUCACAAAACUGAAAUAAAAACAAAAAAUAAGAGUAUAAUAUGAAAUCCUCACAUUUCCUCUCUCAUACUACCACAAAGCUUCGAUUGCAUGUUUCAAUAAAUUACUAUUUUAGAUCCAAAUAAGAUACUGGCUGCUGAAAAGGAAACAGAAAGAGGUCUCUCUAUUUCACUAGCUCUUAAUUUUUUAUUCAUUGUUACGGUCUGCUUUCCAUUUACUGGGUAAUAAUAUCAUUAUUACAGACUAAAUCCCCUCCUGGCUUUAAAAGGAAAUCUUCCAUUAGAAAGUAGUCAACUGUUGAAAGGAAGGUGAUCAGGCCUAAAGGAAAAUAGAAAUUUAGGGAGACAUUCUAUUUUCUCAUAACUUGGGAGGAAAAUA